GACGGACGCUGGCGGCGUGCUUAACACAUGCAAGUCGAGCGGUAAGGCCCUUUCGGGGGUACACGAGCGGCGAACGGGUGAGUAACACGUGGGUGACCUGCCCUUAGCUCUGGGAUAAGCCUGGGAAACUGGGUCUAAUACCGGAUAUGACUCCAUGACGCAUGUUGUGGGGUGGAAAGCCUUGUGCGGCUAGGGAUGGGCCCGCGGCCUAUCAGCUUGUUGGUGGGGUGAUGGCCUACCAAGGCGACGACGGGUAGCCGGCCUGAGAGGGCGACCGGCCACACUGGGACUGAGACACGGCCCAGACUCCUACGGGAGGCAGCAGUGGGGAAUCUUGCGCAAUGGGCGAAAGCCUGACGCAGCGACGCCGCGUGAGGGAUGACGGCCUCGGU
rnacentral:rRNA from 1 species